rnacentral:rRNA from 1 species
CCUACGGGUGGCAGCAGUGGGGAAUAUUGCACAAUGGGGGAAACCCUGAUGCAGCGACGCCGCGUGAGUGAAGAAGUAUCUCGGUACGUAAAGCUCUAUCAGCAGGGAAGAAAAUGACGGUACCUGACUAAGAAGCCCCGGCUAACUACGUGCCAGCAGCCGCGGUAAUACGUAGGGGGCAAGCGUUAUCCGGAUUUACUGGGUGUAAAGGGAGCGUAGACGGCAGCACAAGUCUGGAGUGAAAUCCCGGGGCCUAACCCCGGAACUGCUUUGGAAACUGUGCGGCUGGAGUGCAGGAGGGGUAAGCGGAAUUCCUAGUGUAGCGGUGAAAUGCGUAGAUAUUAGGAGGAACACCGGUGGCGAAGGCGGCUUACUGGACUGUAACUGACGUUGAGGCUCGAAAGCGUGGGGAGCAAACAGGAUUAGAUACCCGUGUAGUC